GAUCAGCUCACAUACCUCUCACUGGAGGCUGAUCACUAAAGGAAAAGAGGUGUAGCCUAAAAGAUGAGAAUUUUGAGUCUUGUGUACCUGUUGACAGCCCUUCCUGGUAUCCUGUCCCAGGUGCAGCUUCAGGAGUCAGGACCUGGCUUUGUGAAACCCUCUCAGACACUGUCGCUCACCUGCUCUGUCACUGGUUCCUCCAUCAACAGUGAUUAUACAUGGAACUGGAUCCGACAGUUCCCAGGAAAUAAAAUGGAGUGGAUGGGAUACAUAUACUAUAGUAGCACUGGAUACAACCCAUCACUCGAAGGUCGAAUCUCCAUCACUAGAGACACAUCCAAGAACCAGGUCUUCCUGCAGCUGAGCUCUGUGACUACUGAGGACACAGCCACAUAUUACUGUGCAAGAAGCACAGUGUGA